rnacentral:rRNA from 1 species
CAGUAGCCGCGGUAAUACGUAGGGUGCAAGCGUUAAUCGGAAUUACUGGGCGUAAAGCGUGCGCAGGCGGUUCGCUAAGACAGAUGUGAAAUCCCCGGGCUUAACCUGGGAACUGCAUUUGUGACUGGCGGGCUAGAGUAUGGCAAAGGGGGGUAGAAUUCCACGUGCAGCAGUGAAAUGCGUAGAGAUGUGGAGGAAUACCGAUGGCGAAGGCAGCCCCCUGGGCCAAUACUGACGCUCAUGCACGAAAGCGUGGGGAGCAAACAGGAUUAGAUACCCCUGUAGUCCCUGUCUCUUAUAC